GUGCUUAUCUGGCAGGAGAGAGACUGCGAUCCUGAACAUAGUUUCCUAGGGUGAGACGCAUCCAUUACACUCUGGGUAUAGUGACCCUUUUAUCUCCCCAAACACAGGAAACUCAACUACACAAUUCGUAGUAGUGGCAGGCAGCAUUCAUUCUCUUCCUGGUU
ensembl:snRNA U1 U1 spliceosomal RNA